rnacentral:rRNA from 1 species
CGAGAGGUGCUUGCACCUUUCAGCGAGUGGCGAACGGGUGAGUAACACGUGGAUAACCUGCCUCAAGGCUGGGGAUAACAUUUGGAAACAGAUGCUAAUACCGAAUAAAACUUAGUAUCGCAUGAUACAAAGUUAAAAGGCGCUACGGCGUCACCUAGAGAUGGAUCCGCGGUGCAUUAGUUAGUUGGUGGGGUAAAGGCUUACCAAGACAAUGAUGCAUAGCCGAGUUGAGAGACUGAUCGGCCACAUUGGGACUGAGACACGGCCCAAACUCCUACGGGAGGCUGCAGUAGGGAAUCUUCCACAAUGGGCGCAAGCCUGAUGGAGCAACGCCGCGUGUGUGAUGAAGGCUUUCGGGUCGUAAAGCACUGUUGUAUGGGAAGAAAUGCUAAAAUAGGGAAUGAUUUUAGUUUGACGGUACCAUACCAGAAAGGGACGGCUAAAUACGUGCCAGCAGCCGCGGUAAUACGUAUGUCCCGAGCGUUAUCCGGAUUUAUUGGGCGUAAAGCGAGCGCAGACGGUUGAUUAAGUCUGAUGUGAAAGCCCGGAGCUCAACUCCGGAAUGGCAUUGGAAACUGGUUAACUUGAGUGUUGUAGAGGUAAGUGGAACUCCAUGUGUAGCGGUGAAGCCGUNAUUAAAAA